CGCAGAUCCCGAGAAUCCAGCAGGGUCUCCGGGUAUGAGUCUGGUUGUCCCUCACCAGGACGAUCCCGCCUGGCUAUGAUAUCAUCUCUCACUUCCUGCCAGCCAGUGAUCUCAGCCACACUUGGAGCAGUCAGCGGGGCCCCCGGGGUUACCGAGCGCUUCCUGGAGGCCAGGCAGUGUCUGAGCACUUCGUAUCCACUGAUAGGUUUAAUCUCCCAACAACUGAAGAGGCCAGGUACAGAGGAUGACAAGGUCCCGGAGGAUGGGGGAGCCACAGGAAGGGGGAGCCUGGGUCCCUGCAUCACUGCAUGGAGAGUCGUCUACCGACCAGGAACACCCACUGGGACUAUUCACGAGUGAGAAAUAAAUUUCUAUGGUGUCUGAGC
rnacentral:lncRNA from 1 species